rnacentral:rRNA from 1 species
UACAGAGGUGGCAAGCGUUGUUCGGAAUUACUGGGCGUAAAGGGCGCGUAGGCGGUUCGUUAAGUCCUGUGUGAAAUCCCCCGGCUCAACUGGGGAACUGCACAGGAAACUAGCGGGCUUGAGUUCGGGAGAGGGAAGCGGAAUUCCGGGUGUAGCGGUGAAAUGCGUAGAUAUCUGGAGGAACACCGGUGGCGAAGGCGGCAUCCUGGACCGACACUGACGCUGAGGCACGAAAGCGUGGGGAGCAAACAGG